rnacentral:rRNA from 1 species
GACGAACGCUGGCGGCGUGCCUAAUACAUGCAAGUCGAACGCUUCUUUCCUCCCGAGUGCUUGCACUCAAUUGGAAAGAGGAGUGGCGGACGGGUGAGUAACACGUGGGUAACCUACCCAUCAGAGGGGGAUAACACUUGGAAACAGGUGCUAAUACCGCAUAACAGUUUAUGCCGCAUGGCAUAAGAGUGAAAGGCGCUUUCGGGUGUCGUUGAUGGAUGGACCCGCGGUGCAUUAGCUAGUUGGUGAGGUAACGGCUCACCAAGGCCACGAUGCAUAGCCGACCUGAGAGGGUGAUCGGCCACACUGGGACUGAGACACGGCCCAGACUCCUACGGGAGGCAGCAGUAGGGAAUCUUCGGCAAUGGACGAAAGUCUGACCGAGCAACGCCGCGUGAGUGAAGAAGGUUUUCGGAUCGUAAAACUCUGUUGUUAGAGAAGAACAAGGACGUUAGUAACUGAACGUCCCCUGACGGUAUCUAAUCAGAAAGCCACGGCUAACUACGUG